rnacentral:misc_RNA from 1 species
AAGUCGUAACAAGGUAUCCGUAGGUGAACCUGCGGAUGGAUCAUUAACACUUUCCAAAAACAACUGAGUUCUACACCAUGGCUAGCGUCAUUGUUGUAGGCUUGGUUUUCAAACCCAAAUCAGCGAACUUGUCAACGGCAUAGCAUGUUUGUUUGAUUGUUUCAAACAAACAAACAAACACAAAGUUAUGUCCGUUCGUUUUCUCCUUGUCAAUUUUACUUUUAUUAUUCAACACUCUUUUUUUCUUUUCCUUCAUUGGAUGGAAAAAAGCAGCGUCAAACGAAAUAACUUGACUAAGAAGAAAAAAAAUCCCACGUUUAAUGAACAUUAAAUGAGGGAAAAAGAAAAAAUAAACAAAAAAUACAACUCUUAACAACGGAUAUCUUGGCUCUC